CAUGGGUGACCCUGCUGGUAUUUUAAAAUACCAAUGGCAUAGCUUUCAGCAUCACAGCAACACAUAACCGCCACAGUCUAACAACCAACAGACAGGUGAUGUGGCUCCCUGACUGGGACACGAAUGCGGGCCACAGUGGUGAGAGCACUGAAUCUUAACCGUGGGCUGGCCUGGUGAACUUGACUGAGUGUAAAUUAUGUCUCAACACACCUGGCUUUAAAAAUAAUGAAGCCAGGUUCAGUGAGAGGUGGACAAGGAGACCUGGGGUGGUGGGCACUGAUGCGUGGCCCAGGAUGGAGGUGUUCAGUCACGGGAGCAGAGUUUACACAAGAUGCUUUUUAAGACCCUGUGACCCUAGGAUUCACGGACAUCACAAUUUGCCUCUCCUCUCUUAAAGUUGAUUCGUUCAACCAGAUUUUGCGCCUGACACUGCUCUAGGCACCGGGGAUGCAGCGGUGAACAAAACAAAGCUUUUAUGGGACUUGCACUCUAGCGGAUAGAGGCGGACAAUCAACAAAGCAACAAGCAAGUACAGUGUAUCAGAUGGUGAUCAGUGCUCACAGGAGAAAAACGAUGCAAAAAAGGGAACUGGGAGUGUGGGGCAGGACAGCUGCAAUUUUAUAUGUGAUGGCCAAAGAUGGCCUCCCCAGUGAGGUCACAUUGGAGCAGAGCCCUGAAGGGAGUGAGGGAGGGAGCCGUGUGGAUAUCAGGGAACAGUAUUUCAGUCCAAGGGAACAGCAAGCCAAAGUCCUGAGGCAAGAGUGUGGCUGGCGUGUUUGAGGAAGAGCAAGAAGCUUGGCAGGGCUGGAGCCGAGUGAGAGGAGGGCAGGAAGCAGCCAGAUCGUGCAGGGCCUUGUCGGCCACUGUAGGAACUCUGAGCAGAGGAGUAACAGGGUCUGACUCUUUCUUUAAAGGAUUCCUCUGGCCACUGUAUUGACAACAGUAGGAGGAAGCUGGGGUGACAGCGAGGAGACUGUUACAACAAUCCAGAGUGGACAGGCAGUGGACCAGGGUUGUGGUGGUGGUGGAAGGGGGGGAAACGGAGAGGGUCUGGACAGAUUCUGAAGGCAGUGCUGCGCAAUGUGCUGACGGUUUGGAUGUGGAGUGUGAGAAAAAGAGAGGAAUCAAAGACAGAAGCAAGGAAUCCAGGUUUUUUGCCUUAGCAACUGAAGGAUGAAACUACCAUUUACGGGACAGGGAAGGGGGGGGAGGCGGGAUUGUGGGGGAAGCAGGAACGUGGUUCAGAUGUAAUUAAGACUCAGGUGCCUGCUGGGCAUCCUUCGAGCUGGACCUCCCAGGAAGGCGGGGAGAGGGCCAGGCUGCACACAGAGAUUUGGGAGUUAUCAGGUUAGAGGCGGAUAGAGCCACGAGGCUGAGACCACUAGGACGAGAGGCAUUAAAAAGGAGAAGAGGCCCAGAUGGAGCCUGGAACAUUCCAACCAAGUCGGGGAGAUGAGGAGGAACUGAAGAGACAGAAGCAGCAGCCAGCGAGGCAGAAGGAGACCCGAGGGCGUGGCGUUCCCUCUCUCCAUGAAGAAAGUCGUUCAGUCAGAGGGAGCUGUCAACUGUGUCAAACCCUGCAGAAGGGGCAGGGAGAGGGGGACUGAGAACGGGCCACAGCACAUGACAAGGAUGGCACUGGUGACCUGGCCAGAGCCACUGCAGACAGGGCCAGGUGGACGAGGAGGACAGACACACGGAAUCUUUCCAGGCUCAGACGAACGGCUGCAAACAAC